rfam:Camelus ferus unplaced genomic scaffold scaffold1505, whole genome shotgun sequence.
GAGGGUAUAGCUCAAGUGGUAGAGUGCAUGCUUAGCAUGCAUGAGGUCCUGGGUUCAAUCCCAAGUACCUUCU